rnacentral:rRNA from 1 species
AGAAUCAACGCUGGCGGCGUGCCUAACACAUGCAAGUCGAACGCGAAAGUCCCGCAAGGGGCAAGUAGAGUGGCAAACGGGUGAGUAACACGUGGGUGACCUGCCUUCGAGUGGGGGAUAACGUCCCGAAAGGGACGCUAAUACCGCAUAACAUCCUGCUUUUGAACAGGUGGACAUCAAAGCCGGGACCGCAAGGCCUGGCGCUUGAAGAGGGGCCCGCGCCUGAUUAGCUAGUUGGUGGGGUAAUGGCUCACCAAGGCAACGAUCAGUA